rfam:Hanseniaspora osmophila strain AWRI3579 Hanseniaspora_osmophila_AWRI3579_scaffold8, whole genome shotgun sequence.
GGUUGUUUGGCCGAGCGGUCUAAGGCGUCCGAUUCAAGUUAAGUUUAUUAGCUUUCCAAUUGCAUAAGUGCAGUUGAACACUCGGAUAUCGUAAGAUGCAAGAGUUCGAAUCUCUUAGCAACCA